rnacentral:rRNA from 1 species
AACGAACGCUGGCGGCAGGCUUAACACAUGCAAGUCGAGCGCCCCGCAAGGGGAGCGGCAGACGGGUGAGUAACGCGUGGGAACGUACCCUUUGCUACGGAACAGCUCCGGGAAACUGGAAUUAAUACCGUAUGUGCCCUACGGGGGAAAGAUUUAUCGGCAAAGGAUCGGCCCGCGUUGGAUUAGCUAGUUGGUGGGGUAAUGGCCUACCAAGGCGACGAUCCAUAGCUGGUCUGAGAGGAUGAUCAACCACAUUGGGACUGAGACACGGCCCAAACUCCUACGGGAGGCAGCAGUGGGGAAUAUUGGACAAUGGGCGCAAGCCUGAUCCAGCCAUGCCGCGUGAGUGAUGAAGGCCUUAGGGUUGUAAAGCUCUUUCACCGGAGAAGAUAAUGACGGUAUCCGGAGAAGAAGCCCCGGCUAACUUCGUGCCAGCAGCCGCUGUAAAAC